GACGAACGCUGGCGGCGUGCUUAACACAUGCAAGUCGAACGGAAAGGCCCUGCUUUUGUGGGGUGCUCGAGUGGCGAACGGGUGAGUAACACGUGAGUAACCUGCCCUUGACUUUGGGGUAACUUCAGGAAACUGGGGCUAAUACCGGAUAGGAGCUCCUGCUGCAUGGUGGGGGUUGGAAAGUUUCGGCGGUUGGGGAUGGACUCGCGGCUUAUCAGCUUGUUGGUGGGGUAGUGGCUUACCAAGGCUUUGACGGGUAGCCGGCCUGAGAGGGUGACCGGCCACAUUGGGACUGAGAUACGGCCCAGACUCCUACGGGAGGCAGCAGUGGGGAAUAUUGCACAAUGGGCGGAAGCCUGAUGCAGCAACGCCGCGUGCGGGAUGACGGCCUUCGGGUCGUAAACCGCUUUCGCCUGUGACGAAGCGUGAGUGACGGUAAUGGGUAAAGAAGCACCGGCUAACUACGUG
rnacentral:rRNA from 1 species